rnacentral:rRNA from 1 species
AUUGAACGCGGGCGGCAGGCUUAACACAUGCAAGUCGAGCGAGCGGCGGACGGGUGAGUAAUGUCUGGGAAACUGCCUGAUGGAGGGGGAUAACUACUGGAAACGGUAGCUAAUACCGCAUACCAUUGGAUGUGCCCAGAUGGGAUUAGCUAGUAGGUGGGGUAAAGGCUCACCUAGGCGACGAUCCAUAGCUGGUCUGAGAGGAUGACCAGCCACACUGGAACUGAUAAACGGCCCAGACGACUACGGGAGGCAGCAUUGGGGAAGAUUGCACAAUGGGCGCAAGCCUGAUGCAGCCAUGCCGCGUGUAUGAAGAAGGCCUUCGGGUUGUAAAGUACUUUCAUCGGGGAGGCGUUACCCGCAGAAGAAGCACCGGCUAACUCCGUGACAGCAGCCGCGGUAAUUC